AACGAACGCUGGCGGCAUGCCUAACACAUGCAAGUCGAACGAAGGCUUCGGCCUUAGUGGCGCACGGGUGCGUAACGCGUGGGAAUCUGCCCCUUGGUUCGGAAUGACAGUGAGAAAUGACUGCUAAUACCGGAUGAGGACUGCGGUCCCAAGAUUUAUCGCCAAGGGAUGGGCCCGCGUGGGAUUAGGUAGUUGGUGGGGUCAAGGCCGACCAGGCCGACGAUCCUUAGCUGGGCUGAGAGGAUGAUCAUCCACACUGGGACUGAGACACGGCCCAGACUCCUACGGGAGGCAGCAGUGGGGAAUAUUGGACAAUGGGCGAAAGCCUGAUCCAGCAAUGCCGCGUGAGUGAUGAAGGCCUUAGGGUUGUAAAGCUCUUUUACCAGGGAUGAUAAUGACAGUACCUGGAGAAUAAGCUCCGGCUAACUCCGUGCCAGCAGCCGCCGUAA
rnacentral:rRNA from 1 species